rnacentral:SRP_RNA from 1 species
UUGCCGGGCUGGCCGGGAGGAUAGGCGUCUCCUGUUACUCGAAACCGUCUAGAUGCGAGGGCGACAGUCGGUAAAGGUGGCAACGAUAGUUGUACAUUCCUCCGAUGUACUAUGAAACUCUGUUCCAUUGGAUCCGGGUUGGUCUCUUCCCUCCCGGAGGGGAGGGGGGAUAUCAUCAUCACGGGAAUCCGCCAGGACCGGAAGGGAGCAACGGUUACGUGGACCUUGGAUGCUGAUGGGGGUACGGAGUCGAGACCAGAGGAGGGGAAAUGUUCAUCGAAUCGUCCACCGAUACCGGCGGCCCGGCUU